UGUGACGAGUGCUCUGAGAUUCAGGAGGAACGAUGUGUGUUCCAUCCUGGUUGUAGAACAGUGGACCAGCUCUUUACCCUCACAAGGAUAUUGGAGGGAACUUGGGAGUAUGACCAACUAGUCUACAUGUCUUUUGUGGACUUGGAAGAGGCGUAUGACUGGGUCUCUUAAGGUAUGUUGCGGGGGAUGCUGCAUAAGUAUGGGGUACUGGAUUCACUACACUGUGCAAUAGGAGCCGUGUCCACAUUACAUCAGACUUGUUUCUGGUGGGAGAUGGGCUGCGUCUUGUCACCAAUCCUGUGUGUGAGGUUCACGGACAGGAUUUCAAGGUGCAGUCAGGGACCAG